CAGUAGCCGCGGUAAUACGUAGGGUGCGAGCGUUAAUCGGAAUUACUGGGCGUAAAGCGUGCGCAGGCGGUUUUGUAAGACAGGCGUGAAAUCCCCGGGCUCAACCUGGGAAUGGCGCUUGUGACUGCAAAGCUAGAGUGCGGCAGAGGGGGAUGGAAUUCCGCGUGUAGCAGUGAAAUGCGUAGAUAUGCGGAGGAACACCGAUGGCGAAGGCAAUCCCCUGGGCCUGCACUGACGCUCAUGCACGAAAGCGUGGGGAGCAAACGGGAUUAGAUACCCCUGUAGUCCCUGUCUCUUAUAC
rnacentral:rRNA from 1 species